CCUUGCACAUAGGUCUUUCUUCUUUUCCGUACCUCUUUUUAAGAAUUUAAAUGCAUUCUCUAAUUUCAGUCUUUUUCUACUUUUUUAUAGCAACCAUGGGAGUUGACAUCGGACGUGGUUUGGUUAGGUUUUUUAUCGAAAGCGUGUUUUGAGAGAAUUUGAAAUUCUUAGGCUCAAAUCCUUGAUUAAUUUGAGUUGCCAGCGUUGUUUUAGGUGGUUUAAGGAUUGGUACAAGUUUAAAUAAUGUUGUGGGAUAUGUCCGUAGGUUUGAUUGAAGUCCGAGGGCCUCGGGAGUGUUUCAGAUGCUCAACAGGGCAUUUUUGUGAUGUUUAAAGUUGUAGAUUUUGCUUCAGCUGUUGCAGGCCAUUUUCCUUCUUCGCGAUCGCAUCUUUCCUUCCUCGAUUGCAUAGUGUAAAUACGGAGGGUGAUAUUAUUUUUCUACGCGAUCGCAUUAUUUGGUUCGCAAUCGAGGAAGUCAUCUUCCUCCUUCUUCGUGUUCGCAAUUGCACUCUCGCAUUUGCAUAGUAGAAAAUAGGAGCUAGUGCCUCAUUGUUAUUUCCUUUUUGUGAUCAUGUUACCCAGUUUGCGAUCGCAUAGGUAUGUUUCCUUCUCUUAUGCGAUCACAUGGCUUGGUAUGCGUUUGCAUAGGCCAUUUUUAGGAGACUUUAAACUUUACUCUUCGCGAUCGCAGCCAAAUUCCUACGAUUGCAUUGAACAAAUACCUGGGCAGUUAUAAACAUUUCAAAAAAUCUUAGGGUUAGCCAUUUUUACCAAACUCAAGUUUGGGAGCUCGGAUUUGGGAGAGAUUUCGAGGAAGUUUGAAGAGCAACAAUUCUAGACUCCUUUUUGCUCAUAACCCACAAAUCUAAUCAUGAAUUCACCUUUUAAUUUCAUAUUUGAGAUGAAAAAUGGGUAAAACUUUAUAGAUCGAAUUAUUAAGUUUUGAGUGGGUGUUUGACCUCCGGUUUGAGAGAUUUUUAUAUGGUUAGACUCGUGAGAGUACGAGGGUUCUAAAAAUAUUAAUUUCAUCCGAUUCCGAGAUAUUGCUUAAGGGACAUUUUUGUUAUUUUACCUAAUUUUGCGUCUUAGCUUUGAAUUAAAUAAUAUAAUCAGUUUCUUGAAAUGUUAUCGAGACAUGGUCCUGAGGGGCAUUUUGGUCAUUUUACAUAAUUUCACGUCUUAGCUUUGAAUUAAGCAGUAGAAUCAGUUUUUUGAGAUGUUAUUUAUGAUAUGUAAUUGAAUUGAAUAGAUUUGGGCAAUUCAGAGUCGGAUACUCAUGGCAAAAGUGUGAUUUCCAGGUGAUUUUGGAGCCGAUUCGAGGUAAGUGGCUUGUCUAACCUUGUGUGGGGGACCUUUCCCCUUAGGAUAUGAUAUUUGGUAAUUGAAUGCGUUGUACGUAAGGUGACAAGCGCGUACUUGAGCUAAUUGUUGAAAACCCAAUUUUGGCUUAAGAUAUUGAGUGAAUUUCUUUCGUAUUUGUUUUACUCUACUUGCAAUUAUAGCCUGUGUUAGUUUAGAAAAGCAUGCUUAGUUGAUUUAAAAGUCCUAUUUGCUUAAGUUUCCUUGCAUGUUAGGCUAGUGUUACCUGUUGCUUGUAUUUUUGUACUUCAUUUAGACAAGAGGGGUUGCUCUGAUGGUAAGCAACCCCCACUUCCAAUCGAGAGGUUGUGANNNNNNNNNNNNNNNNNNNNNNNNNNNNNNNNNNNNNNNNNNNNNNNNNNNNNNNNNNNNNNNNNNNNNNNNNNNNNNNNNNNNNNNNNNNNNNNNNNNNNNNNNNNNNNNNNNNNNNNNNNNNNNNNNNNNNNNNNNNNNNGUUCUUGGAGGGAAGGAUGCCGGGGGUCUAUUUGGAAACAGCCUCUCUAUCCAAGGGUAGGGGUAAGGUCUGCGUACAUACUACCCUCCCCCGACCCCACUAAGUGGGAUUAUACUGGGUUGUUGUUGUUGUUGUUUGUAGUUGCGCAUUUACAUUUGGGAUACGGAUGUAGGAUUCCAGUAGCUCCCCCUUGUUUGUUUACUUUGGGACUAUGGGUUAGAUUUCCGGUAAAUCCCCCUGCACUUUUACUUUGGGACUACGGGUUAGAUUCUCGGUAGACCCCCUGCAUAUUGAUAGUUGAACUAUGGGACGAUAUCCCGGGAGAUCCUUCGCAUAUUCUCAUAUGAUGGACUACGGGACGAUAUCCCGAGAUCUCCUCGGACAGUUGAUGAAAUGGACUACAGGACGGUAUCCUGGGAUAUCCGCGUUGUUGGUAUUGAUGUCGGGCUGUUUUACUCUGUUUUACCUUAUUCUCUAUUUGUUAUUUGUUGCUUUGUAUAACAUGUCUUCCUUCAUAGUUGUAUUCAUUAUUUCUUUUUAUUUCAUACUGUUACAAGGCUUAUUAAUAUAUUUUAUCAUAGUAGGGCCCUGACCUUCCUCGUCACUACUCAACCGAGGUUAGGCUUGGCACUUACUAAGUACUGUUGUGGUGUACUCAUGCCCCUUCUAUGCAUGUUUUUCAUGUGCAGAUCCAGGUACCUCCACCUAGGCGCAUUAUCCUUGAGGCCGAGAGAGCUACGGAGACUUCGAGGUACAUCUACCGCGUCCGCAGACCAAAGAGUCUCCUUCUUUACUCUAUCUGUAGUGUUUAGCCUCUAUCAUACUCUUGUUGUAGACCUUUUUGGAGAUUAGAACAUUUUUCAGUACUUCUUCUAGCUUGUGUCCCCGUGAGUUUUCGGGUUUUGGGGUGAUAUUGUAGACUUUCGCAUUAUUGAGUUGUAUAUGCCGAGCAGCAUUCAUAUAUUUUUUCUUCUAGUUGUUCAGACUUAAUUAUUUAUUUUCGCAUGUUAUGUUAUUUCUGCAUUGUUUACCUAGUCGUAUGGACUAGGUGCCAUCACGGCAUAUUCAUGGAGGGUGAACUAGGUUGUGACAAGUUGGUAUCAGAGCUCUAGGUUCACAGGAGUCAUGAAACAUAGACAUGUUUAUUAGAGUCUCGCUGAUUGGCACGGAAACGUUUGUACUUAUCUACGAGAGGCUGUGUAACUGCUAGGAAAAUUUUCACUUUAUUUGAUAUCCUUGCCGUACGAUAUUUUGACAUGACAAUUCUAAACUUCUGUUUUCUAUUCUCUCACAAAUGGUGAGGACACGUGCUACUUGGGAUGAUUAGGCACCCGCGCCUUCUCCCGUAGCCGUUAGAGGCCAGGGCUGAGGUAUAGGCUGAGGACGUGCACGUGGUGUAUCGAGAGCACCUGCGCGAGCUGCCACCGAGGUACCACUAGCAGAUCUAGCCAGAGUCCAGGCACCCGACACACCUACUGCCACUACUACUCCAGCUCUUCAGGAGACUCUGGCUUAGUUCAUGAGUAUGUACACCACCUUGGCUUAGGCAGGGUUGCUUCCCCUUGCUUCAGCCACAUCCCAGACCACGAGAGGAGCAUACACUCCCGCCGCCUGCACUAAUAAGCAGUGAGUACAUGUUGAGAAGGUCCCAGAGAUCAUUCAUGUACCGCUUGUAGUACCAGUUCAGCCCAUGGAUGGGGCAGCUGCUUCAGAGGAUGAGCAGCGGAGGCUUGAGAGGUUCAAGAAGUAUGAUCCUUCGGUAUUAAGUAGAUUAGCAUCAGACGAUACCUUAAAGUUUCUAGAGGAGUUCCAUCAUAUUCUUCGCACUGUGGGCAUAGCCGGAUCUAGCGGGGUUUCCUUAACUACCCUCCAGCUUCGGGUAGCCACCUAUGAUUGGUGGCGCACAUAUGAGUUAGACAGUCCAGACGAGGCUGCUUCAAUGACCUGGACUCAGUUCUCAAAUAAGUUCCUGAGAGAGUUUGUUCCUCAGAGCCUCGGGGAUGCAUGGCGUGUAGAGUUUGAGCAUUUGAUCCAGGGUGCUAUGACAGUUUCAGAGUAUGUUAUCCGUUACACCAGAUUGGCUAGGCACGCACCGUCCUUGGUUGCUACCCUCUGCGAGAGGGUUUGCCGAUUCAUUGAGGGUCUUAUCCCACCCAUCAGAUCUAGCAUGGCUCGAGAGUUGGAGAUGGAAAUUCCUUAUCAGCAGGUAGUCAGUAUUGCUAGGAGGAUCGAGGUUAUGCUCACUAGGGAGCGAGAGGAGAGAGUGGCCAAGAGGUUUCCAGAGUCGGGCCACUACUCUGGUGCCCUUACCCUAGCGGAAGGUCGACAUGGUAGCGGUUUUAUGGGUCUCCCCAUUCAUUCAGCUCUUUCAACAGCCAGCAGUGCUUCAGCUCAACCUGGACAUUAGGAGCCUUACUUACCUCCAGUUUCUAGCGCGCCUCCUGCACGAGGUGCUUUCAGAGGUCAGUCUAACAGACCUGGCUCUAGCCAGUCACAUCCACCACAUCAUGAUAGAGCUUGUUUUGAGUACGGCGAUAUACGCUAAAUGGUUAGGGGAUGCCCCAAACUUGGUAGGGGUGCAUCUUCAUAGACUUCUAAGCAACAGCAUGCUCAAUAGAGUUCUCAGGCCAUGAUCACAACUCCAGCUGCUACCCCAUCUGCCCAGCCAGCUAGAGGCAGAGGUGGGGGAGGUAGAGGUCGCCUUUGAAGGGGAGGCUAGGCUAGAUAUUAUGCUAUUCCUGCUCAUACUGAGGCGGUUCCCUCCGAUUCUAUCAUUAUAGGUAUUAUAGUGGUUUGUCAUAGAGAUGCAUCGAUUCUAUUCGAUCCACACUCUACUUACUCUUAUGUGUCUUCUUAUUUUGCUUUGCAUGUGGAUGUACCCAAAGAUUCCUUGAGUUCUCCUGUAUAUAUUUCUACACCCAUGGGGAACUCUUUUGUUGUGUACCGCGUGCAUCAGUCAUGUUUGGUUACUAUUCGUGGUUUUAAGACUAGGGUAUAUCUAUUGUUACUCAUCAUGGUUGAUUUUGAUAUUAUCUUUUGCAUGGAUUGGUUGUCUUCCCAUUAUGAUAUUCUUGAUUGUCACGCCAAGACCGUGACGCUGGCUAUGCCAGGUAUUCCGCGCGUUGAGUGGAGUGGUACUUUAGAUCACCCUCCCAAUAUAGUUAUCUCUUUUCUCAUGGCUUAACAUAUGGUUGAGAAGGGGUGUGCUGCGUAUUUAACUUGUGCGAUAGAUGUCAGUGUUGAUACCCCUUCUAUUGAUUCGGUCCCAGUGGUACAGGAUUAUCCCGAUGUGUUUCGAGCUGAUCUUCCUGGCAUGUCGUCCGACAGAGACAUUGAUUUUGACAUUGAUUUGUUGCCAAACACUCAGCCCAUUUCCAUUCCUAAGUAUCGUAUGGCUCCUACUGAGUUGAAAAAGUUGAAGGAUUGGUUGCAAGAAUUGCUUGAUAAGGAUUUUAUUGAACCCAAUGUUUCACCUUGGGGGGCUCCUAUCCUAUUUGUUAAGAAAAAGAAUGGUUUUAUGCGUAUGUGCAUGGAUUAUCAUCAGUUGAACAAGGUUAUAGUGAAGAACCGUUAUCCCUUGCCUCGUAUUGAUGAUCUAUUUGACUAGCUUCAGGGCGCACUUGUGGUUUCUAAGAUUUAUUUCCACUCAGGUUAUCACCAUUUGAAGAUUCGGGAGCCAGAUAUCCCAAAGACUGCCUUCAGGACUCGGUAUGGUUAUUACGAAUUCCUUGUUAUGUCAUUUGGGCCAAUGACCUAGCAGCUUUUAUGCAUUUGAUGCACAGUGUGUUCAAGCCAUAUCUUGACUCUUUUAUCAUUAUUUUCAUAGAUUAUCUUCUUGUAUACUCCCAAAGUCGGGAAGAUCAUGAGCAACACCCGAGGACCGUGCUUCAGACCUUGAUAGAGAAGAAGGUAUGUGCAAAGUUCUCAAAAUAUGAGUUUUGGUUGGAUACUGUGGCAUUCUUAGGCCACGUGGUAUCGAGUGAGGGCAUUCGGGUGGAUUUGAUGUAGGUGGAGACCGUACAAAGUUGGCCCAGGCCGUCCUCAGCUAUAGAGAUUCGCACUUUCCUUGGCUUGGCAGGCCUACUACCGUCGUUUUGUAUAGGGGUUUUCAUCGAUUGCAACCCCUUUGAGUAAAUUGACCCAGAAGGGUGCUCCAUUACGGUGGACAGAGAAGUAUGAAGCGAGCUUUCAGAAGCUCAAGACAGCCUUGACUACAACCCCAAUUUUGAUAUUACCUAUUGGUUUGGGGUCUUAUACAAUUUAUUGUGAUGCCUCACAGGUUGGACUUGGAGCGGUGUUGAUGUAGGACGGUAGGGUGAUUUCCUACAUGUCCAGACAGUUGCACAUAGUAAUUACAAAUAAGUUUAAAGCUUUUAAAAGAAGAAAGGAAAUAGACAUUUUUUAGAAAAAGAAUUAAUUAAAAGCAAAACAGAAUUUAAAGAAAACAUUGUAGAUAAAAAAGAAAAGGGAAGUGGGGGUCCUAGUUUUAAACAUAAUAUGGAUCACAUCAAUGCAAUAUCCAACAAUCACUCCUCAGAAGAGGGGUCGCACGUGAUAUUAGCGCACCGAUCACCAUAUCCAUAUCCUACCAUUCCAACCCCGUUAAGGUAUUAAAGUGUGUUUAGUCUCAUUAUUAGGACUUCUAAUCCUAAGAGGGAAGAAAGGGAUGGGGGCCUUUAUGGAGUUUAAAGGAUAAAAUUCUAAUUUCAACAUUCAAAAAAAGUACCAAAUAGAGGAAAAACAAAACAGAUAAGCAAGGCUCAAAUAAACCCCUUAAAUUAGAAAAACAUAUAGUUUAGCAUGUCUUGGCACAUACUGGUUUGGUCUUAGAUUAAAUUAAGCGGUGAGCGGACUGGUUCAACACAUAUAUUUAGAUAGAAAGUCAGCAUUAGGCAACUCGGAUACAAUUAUCAAAUAUUAAGGCAUUUAAAGCGAGUUGUUUUAGGCAGGUACUGACUUUAGAAGAUAAGCUAAUACAGAAGAGUUUUUGAAAGAAAACAGGCUGCAGACUUAAUUUAGAAAUGAUUUUCAAAAGGAUCAGCAGGCUAUCCAGUUAUAAAACACAAAAAUGGUUGUAAAAUAUUUUCAGAAGAGUAAAAACUUAUCUAAAGAAAAGAGUAAGCUACAGAACUGAUUUAAACAACGUUCAGUAAUUGAGUUUAAAAAAAUACAUUUAGGCAGAACAUUAGAGAAGCAGUUUCAAAGAAAAGGUAUGCAGAUUUGAAGAAUUCAAAUUUUAGGACAAAUGUACACUGAUUUAAGAGAGAGUUUUAUCAAGAGGUUAAAGCUUUUAAUAACGUUACUAAAUUAGUCAUUUAAGAACCAAUUAAUCAUUAAUUACUAAUUUAAACAUGACACGCGAGUUUGAUGCAAAUCCUAUAGGCAUGAUAUCUAUACUAUUGAUUUUUCAGAACCUGAAAAGAUGCUUGUUUAAUUAACCCUACAGUGUGCCUAAUGAAUAUGCAUAUCCUAUAGGCAUGAUAUCUAUAGAUAACUUUUUCAGAAAAUUUUAAACUCCUAUAGGCAAUAUCCCUAAAUGUGUAAUUGCAGAACAUGAGCGUUAAAUCCUAUAUACAUGCUUUUUAUGUUAUUUGUAAUGUAAUUAUAUGUUAAAUCCUAUAGGCAUGGACUCUAUGUGUUUUAAUCAGGAGCAUUAAACAACCCUGUAGGGAGGAUUUCUAGUAAAAGUAGUCCUAAAUCAUGAUUUCUACCCUUUUUUAGGCAAGAAAGUAAAGACCCCUCCCAUACCCUUUUACUAUAUUCCCUGAGUUUUAUACAAGUUAUUACAAACCAGAAAAGAUAAAAAUACAUCAAAGACUAACAGUUGCAUACAAGAUACCUAAGUCAGGCUAAAUGCCUAGAAAUAUGUGAUUAACCAAUUCCGAAAGCCAGAUUUCCAAAGCCUUCUCUUUAUCCCAAGUGUUUCAAAAUUCCAAGGAAUCUCAAGGAUUCCCGACAUUGCUUAUACACAGGAUACCAUUAGAACUGGAAUAGUGUAGUCUGGAAAUACCAGCCCUCACGCAUCCAAGUUUAGAGGGAGCUCAAGGGGUACCAAGUCAUGGCUUGCAAGAGAGGGGCAGAACUUAUAUCUAAGAGUAAGUGUAAAGUGAAAAGGGAAUUGGGGAGCCACAACAAAUGGUGGUCAUGCCUAGCUACAAGUGUAGGCUGGCACACCUCUGACCACUUGUUUAGUUAAACAAGUUAGGAGCAGACCCUUGAAGGUCAGACCAAGGUCUGGAUAGUGAUUAGGAAACUUUAAAGACCUAAGCCCAAGGCUCAAACACAUAGAAGGGGAAAGGGGAAUGGGAGUUGAUUGAGUGAGGGAUUCAAAGAACCUAGUUCAGAAUCAUAGACAUCAAUGUUAGAUUACUGUUAUGCCUUGAACUGUCCUCAUAUGCAAAGGGGUAAUGAGUAAGGGAAUUCACAUAAGCAAAGUGAUGACAAAGUUGCAGAAAAAACAGUAAAGGAAAGCACAGCAAAACUAGAAUGUAAAUCACAUAGUGGAGAAGUAGUAUUCAAAAUAAGAUGGACACACCAGUUGCAAAGUAAUAGAAUAGCAGAAUAAUCACAUCAAGCAAACAACAGGAACAACUCAGGUUUUCAGCAGAGUACUCGAAAAUUCAUAGAGAACUCGAAGGUAUUUCAGAAAGCAAAGAGGAGAAGUGCACAGAACUAGUGUGUGUAUUGGAGAGAAGAAGAGUGUAGAAAAGCAGAGUGCCUAUUAUUGAAUGUUACUCAUUCCUUUGUUAUUGUGUGUGUGUAAGAGUGCAAUUCAAAGUUCUGUUCAAGUGCAGAAGGGUAGUCCCCUUUUAUAGUACAGAAAGCAAGAAAGAAAAGGUAAGAAAAUAGCCUUGAAAUCAGUUUCAUAUGAUCUCCCUUUAUUCAAGAGAUUUGAUUUCAAACGGCCCGAAUAAAUAAGGAAAUAGUUUGAUUCAAAAUAUUUUCCAAAGUAGUACAAUAAGGGUAAAUACAGAGAAACUUAUUUAAGGAAGGAGUCUAGUAAUACACGGUUUGUGAGAUUAAGAAAAGGAAAUCAAUCAAACCACCAGUAAAAAUCAAAUUUGAAAACUUUGUCAAAUGAACCAAGUCACAAAAGGGUAAGGAAAGGUCAAUUAGGGAAAAUCAGUAACAGUCAAUCAGGACUCAUUUAAAGGAAAUCAGAAUCAAUUAGUGGUUGGCAAAACCUUUUCCGAAAGAAGGAUUUCUCAUAUAAAAAGCAAACAAAUCAAACAAAAGGGUUGUCUUGUUAUAAAAAAAAAAAGUCUAGUAUUGAAAGGUUCAAGAUCAAAGGGACACAAGUUUAGUUUGUAAACUCGUAGUCAUUCUGGGAGUUCAGGGUUCCAAAGUGGAACCCAAACUCAAACACAAAAUAAGGAGCCAAAGAACCCCCCCCCCCAAAUACUAGGGUUUUGAAUCAAAUCAAAUAUAGAGAUAAGAAAGAAAGUUAUUGAAAGAAAUUUUGAGAAAAAAAUGGGAAUGAUAGCAGCUUUGAAACAACCAGGAAAGAAAAUUGAUUCAAAGCAUGAAGAAUAUAUUUUUUAAGCCAAACUCGGAACUUAAACAAGUUCAGAAGAGAAAGAGUGACACAAACUUAAGAAACAGUAGCUAAAACAUGUUAGUAAACCUUGGACAAUGUUUAGUAAAGCAAACAAAAUUAAAGAACUCAGCAAGAAACACAUACAACAGAAAUCAUGUAGGAAAACAUAGCAGAGAUAAUCAUGCAAGCCUAGUCUAGAGGCGUAGUAAAACUUAUCAGAAGGUUUUCAAAACCCUAGUUUGAAACCAAACUAUUUUAAAAAGGAAAAUUAGGAAACUCUUAAAAUGUUUAAUAUAGCAUAGAUUUGCCACAUAUCUUGGCAAAUAAAGAAAGAAGAACAUCGAAUAGGCUAGGGUUUCUGAGAACCCUAAAGGACGAGAAGGCUUAGGAGUCUUCACGAAUGGAUUUAAGCCGAUAAAGUCAAAUUCAGGCUCAAAAGGCUAAAGCCUGCCGGAAACGCCAAAGAGACUCGAAUCGGCCAAGGUCUGGAUGAGGACCUUCGAGGUCUAGCCUUGAAUCUUCAAAGACCAAGCGUAUAGGAGUAGGAGAGGGUAAGUAGAGGUUGUACAUAGGUAGGGCAGUCAUGGAAUCCGGUAGAUUUGAGGUCGAAAAGGGUAGGCGGCGAUUAGGGAUUGAGAGCGUUUGAGAGCAUUUGAGAGAGAAGAGGUUUUGAGGGUGGCGUGUUUGAGAGAAUGACGAGGGUUUAGGGGUCGUUCAUGACUAAUAAGGAAAGGAUAGAUCUGGGUCGUUGAUCAAAAUGAUCAACGGCACAGAUUUUAAAAAAGAAAUUGGGGGAGUUUGAUUAAGGGGUCUAGGUCAGGUUAAAUCAAAAAUUAGGUUGGGAUAAUUUGGGUUUGAUUUGGGCUGAGUUGGGGUGCAACUAGGCUGGCAAUUUUGGCUACAAUUGAAAUAAACUUGAGCUUGAAUUUAAAUAGCCAAUAUUCACUUUAAUUUAUAAACAAUAGUAAUAACAAUUUUAAAAGUAAAUUAAAAGUGUUGAGUACAUAAAUAUUAUAUAAAUAUUAAAAUAAAAAAUACUGGAAGUGGUUUUAUAAUUGCAAAAUGCUAUAAUUACAAGAUAGGCUAUAAUUGCAAUUGUAUGCAAUUUAGCUUUAAAAAUGCCAAAUGAAUUUGUAAAAAUUUGCAAAAAUCACUCUAAUUAAAUUUUUGGUGUAAAUAUGAGUAUAAAAUAGGUUAUUCACCAAAAUGAUGAUUUUGGAAUAAUAUUUGGGAUUUUUAUAAUACAAAAUAGGCGAUAAACUGGUUUAAAAAUACCAAAACUCUAGGUGUGCUUAUAUAUGAAAAUAUAUGCUAUUUUGGAAGUAUUUUAGGUACACAAAAUAUAUAGAGAAAAAUUGGGUAUCAACAAACCCCAAAUGCACAUUUUGCGGGAUUCAAUUUUAGGUUGUACCUUCUCAAUCUAUUGAAGAAUUUCCUCAAGUCCUCCAUGUGAUCAGUUGCUUUCUUGGACUUGAUGAUAACAACAUCUACAUAUACUUCAAUUUCCUUAUGUAUCAUAUCGUGGAAAAUGGUAGGCAUGACCCUCAUGUAGGUGGCCCCAGUAUUCUUUAACCCAAACGACAUCAUCUUGUAACAGUACAUUCCCCACGGCAUAAUGAAAGCCGUUUUCUUAGCAUCUUCUUCCUCCAUCUAGAUCUGAUGAUACCCAGCGAAACAAUUAACAAAUGACUGCAACUCAUGGUUGGCGCAAUUAUUGAUCAGGAUAUGUAUGUUUGGCAAAGGGAAUUCAUCUUUCGAACUGGCCCAAUUGAGAUCCCGGUAGUCAACACAAGCUCUGACCUUCCCAUCCUUCUUCUGUACAGGCACAAUAUUGGCUAGCCAUGAGAGAUAUUCUACUACCCUGAGAACCUUAGAUUUGAUAUGCUUAGUGAGAUCUUCUUUGAUUUUCAAACUCAUAUCAGGCUUGAAAUUUUUGAGUUUUUGCUUUACCGACGGACAUGUUGGAUCGGUUGGGAGUUUGUGAACCACGGUGGAUAUACUCAGACUUGUCAUAUCAUCAUACGACCAGGCGAAUAUGUCCUCAUAUUUCCUUAAAAAUUCUGUGUACUCUUCCUUUUCUAGCGGUGACAAAUGGACGUUGAAUCGUGCUUUUUUUGACAUUCUCUGCGUCUCUCAAGUUUACGAUCUCAGUCUCGUCCAAGUUGGACUUAGGCUUGUUCUCAAAAUUUUUGACUUCCUUAAUUCAUCUUCUUCCGCAUCUAUGUCUGUUUGUUGCGUUGUCUCAUUGCACGUCAUAGUCAUUAGUUCAUCAAGACAAGUAAUAGUAAUGUUGUAUAAGUAAAGUAAUGAGAGGAAACAAUAGUAAUAAGUGUUGAUUCAUAAGAAAAAUCAAAAUGCUUUGAUAAAUUGCAUAAUUGUUUUAAACAUUGGAGAUCUUAUUGCAGGAAUGGAAAAUAUGUAAAAAAAAAAACAAAAAAUUUAGUAAAUAAAAUAGUGCUUGUUUUUAGCCUUCCUACACCGAGGCUCGUUGGGAUCUGGUUGUCCUGAUGGUCCAGUUAUUAAGGUGGGGCCCUCUACUUACGGCAUGUAUGGAAGGGCCUUCCUCCCCCUCCUUCUCGAGAACAACACAACAAUCCAUGUCAUUGUCCUCUAAGAACAAGUUCCUCACAGCUACUAGUGCUUCCUCUUCUUCUGAUCCGUAGAUAACAUCGACCAAUUGGAAAGUCUGUUCCAAAUGCAGUAUCGGCUGCUCCAGCAGAUAAUAAGGAACGUCUAUGGUGGCGACCAGCUGUUGAAUUCCUCCCAUCUGUACUCAUAUCCCAAACUGAAACUAGUGCCAUGCUUUUUGAGCUUUAUAGGCUUAGCGAUUACUCGGAGAUUUUUACAGAGCCAUUUGCCAGGUUCGUACAAAGACAAUUCAGUAUACUCUUGAUCUUGUUAUCCCACCAUUUGUCUUUGUCAACAACAUUCAUCCUUUCGAUAUGAUGGUAUGUUUCUCCUCCUUGCUUCUUUCUUCCUUCGAUUGACAAAAUGGUCUGGUGACUAUAUAUAGGAUUGCUCCCGUCUCCAUGAAUGAUUACCUCAUGAUGGUUCUAUUCGAAUUUCACAUCCUGAUGCAGUGAUGAUACCACAGCCCCAGCAGCAUAAAUUAAUAUGGUUCCCAACAUCAGAUUGUAAGAUGUCGGUACAUCUAUCAUUUGGAAGUCAAAAUCAAAACAAGUUGGCCCCAUUUGCAAACACAGACUAGUCUCCCCAAUGGUAGAUCUUUGGAAUCCAUCUAAGGAUUUUAUGUUGAUAGCUUUGUCCUUUAUCUCGUGCAAUCCUUUGCCCAAUUUCUUCAGUGUUACUAGUGGAUAAAUGUUGAGGCUGGAACCUCCAUCGAUCAGGAUUCUGGUGAUGAAGUAGCCCUCGUAUUGCACGGUGAUGUGCAAUGCCUUGUUGUUUCCUAACCCUUGAGGCAGUAGCUCAUCCUCAUGAAAAGUAAUUUUGUGACUUUCUAUACCUGUCCGACCAUGUUAGCCAUUUCUCCACCACUAAUGUUGCUUGGAACGUAUGCUUCACUCAAUACCCUCAACAAAGCAUUUGUGUGUGCCUCAAAAUUCUGUAGCAAAGCAAAAAUGGAGAUUUGCGUCGGUGUCUUGUUCAACUUGUCGAUGACCGAGUAUUCCUUGGCAUGUAUCUUUCUCCAAAGAUCGUUUGCACCUAUCUCAAUGAUGGGCGACCAAUUAGAGGCAUGCAUGCUUAACUCAGCUAAGUGUUCAGCAGCAUAAACUCUACCAGUUCUUAUCAUACCCUAUGUGGUAAUAGUUUCCUUGGUCCUACCCUUGCUUUUUCUUCUUGCCUUGGCUGUAUAGUCCAAUGGUAUAGCCUUGGUAUGGAAUGGUGUCAUGGCCAACAUCGCCACUAGGAUCGGCACGGGUAUCUUCGCUCCGAACGGAGCAUAUGCUUUGGGAGGUAAAACUGCAACUUCAAAUGGUGUAGAUGCAUUUGUUGGAGACAUGAAUUCAACCUCAAUUGGUUUGGGAGCCUUUGCGGUUGCUUCAAACUCAAGUUCCACAGACAUGUUUACCUCAGCGUCCCUAGAGCGCUGAAUUUGGACCACGAUCAGAUUAAGAGUAACUAUUGGUUUUUUUGGGUUAUCACCUUCUGUGAUCAACCUAAUUCACCCUUCAGGAUCCCAAUCAUCCUCUAUUUCAAUCAUGUGAACACCCCCGCCCUUAUGGUCUAGUGGAGGGUUAUUGCCGACGUUCGUAGCGGGUUCCUUUGCCACAAUGAUCUUGUUGCCAAUCAAAGCCUGGAUCUUGUCUUUCAAAGAGCGACAUUCGUCGAUGGUGUGUCUUUUCAUGUCAGAAUGGUAUGUGUAUGAUUUGUUUGGAUUAAUCUACUGAUAAUGGUUCUCAGGGGUUACAACUAGGAUAGGGGUGACAUAACCAGCGGUUUUGAGCCUUUCGUACAACUGUUCAAUCAAUUCAACAAUGGUCGUAUACUAUUUAAGAGGUCUAAGGUCAAAAUUUGGUCGAGGUCUCGGGAAGUUUUGGCAUGCACGAGGUGAUUGAUAGUGGGAUGGUUAAGCAUUGUAGGCUUGGUAGACAUGUGCAGGUUGGGAAUAUCUAGGUGAAGUAGGUUGAUAUGUGGGAGGUGGAGGUGAUUGAUAAGUGGGUGAUGGGUUUGGUAAGAGGUUGAGGGUUCUUGGUAGUUAGGGGUACGCUGAUAUAUGAGUGAAGGCAUUGGAUGGGCUUGGUAUUUGAUAGUGGAUUUGGUUCUCUGUGCAACCAUCACGGCACCUACGUCCAAUUUCUUGGACGCACCACCAGAGGGUAAGGCCUUAUUUAUAGCUUGCAAGGCCUAAAGGUUUGUAAGUAACCAUACCACUUUUGAUGCCUUCCUCGAUCAUUUCUUCCAGCUUGAUAAUGUCAAAACAUUUGUGGUUCUCAAUAAGCAUUAGCAUUUCAUAAUAUUGCGGGUCCUGCGCCCGGACGAAAAGCUUGUUCAUUUGUUCCUCCUCUAAUGCAGGUCUGACCUUAGCAACUUCUGAUCUCCAGCGAGUAUCAUACUCGUGGAAUGUUUCCGUGGGCUUCUUCUUUAGGUUCUAAAUGCAGAACACAUCUAGUGCAUUUUCUGUGUUGAACCUGAACAUGUCUAUAAAGUUGGAUGCCAUACUCACCCAUUUCAACCAUUUCUUUGGGUCUUGGCUACACCAAGAUAGAGCAUCUCCUUUUAGGCUCCUCAUGAAAAGUUUCAUGCGGGUCUUCUCGUCUUCCCCUACUCCGACCAGCUUGUUGCAGUAUGUUCUAAAAUGGACUCUCACAUCCCCUAUACCAUCAAACAUCUCAAACUUAGGAGGUUUGUACCCCUUGGACAGUUCAACAUCGGUUGUAUUCAACGAUUUUCGUAAUUCAGUCCUUCAAUAUCCUUUCUUCCUUCAACACCCCGAAUUCGUCUAGUCAAUCGUGAGUUCUUCUACCAUGUUCCUAAUGAGUGAGUCUUUAUCAUCAGACUCAGGUGUGCUUGAUAUGGGUUGGGUGGAGUGUGGCAUGGUCUCCACAUAGAUGGGGGUGUUAUGAUGGGUGUGGAAGUGGUCAUUUGUGGAGUUCAAGGGUUCGGGGAUGAGCAGUGCAGUGUUGCUUAAAGUAUGGUAGGCGAUGCAAUGGUGGCGAGGAGCAGGAUGGUUUUAUGACUUUGGGAUGUUUUGUAGAGGUGUGGGGUUCUGAGAAUUUAGGAAAUUGACUCUAGAGUGGUGAGGGAAACUGACAGAUUUGCCAGAUUCCGAACCUGAUUAAGUUCCUCUUGGAACUUCAGCAGCUUUUGUUCGAGUUGGGAUGCAUUUUCUUUAGAAACCUGAGUAACAUGGGCAUGAGUGACCUCUACCCAUUCAGUUGAGUUCUUGUUUCUGGUGUUGUACAGAUCUCCCAUCUUCCCUUUGUUCUUGUUUCUGAUAGAACUAAGAGGAUGAGUGGGUGGAGGGCCCUUGGAUCUCAUGGAAUAAGAUUAUGUUUCCAUAAUGCAUGAACUAACCUUUGGGGAGGGGAAUAAGCAAAACAAAAAAUAAAACAGAAAAAGGUAACCAAGUCAGUGAGGGUUAUAAGAAAAUGUUGCGCUAGUUAAACACAUAGUGCAAGAAUGUAAAUCGUGUCCUAAUUUGGGGACCUCUUUAUGCCCGAGGUAGGUCUAGCGACAAAUUGAUUUGGAGAAAUUAGGAUGCUAAAUGCCUCAUUUUAUUGAUAAAAAGUAGACGAACCCUAAAUCGACGCUAAACAACCGAAAAUAAAAUGUCACUAGCGGCCAUUGGCCUUAUUACAUUUCAUAAAGCAAAAAAGAAAAUUUAUAUCUAUUUGGUCCCAGAAGGACCUUCCCCAGACUCAGCAUAUUUGGCUCCGUCGAACAGCUUUCCCAAUUAUCGACCUUCCUGAGCAAGAUCACGUCCUUCAUUACGAGCUUUUACACAUGCUUCUAGAGCUACUUGAUUUGCUACGGCACCUGGCGCAUUACCCCAAGGAUGUCCUAAAGUUCCUCCACCGAACUGUAGUACGGAAUCAUCCCCAAAGAUCUCGGUCAGAGCAGGCAUAUAAUUUGGGGACCUCUUUAUGCCCGAGGUAGGUCUAGCGACAAAUUGAUUUGGAGAAAUUAGGAUGCUAAAUGCCUCAUUUUAUUGAUAAAAAGUAGACGAACCCUAAAUCGACGCUAAACAACCGAAAAUAAAAUGUCACUAGCGGCCAUUGGCCUUAUUACAUUUCAUAAAGCAAAAAAGAAAAUUUAUAUCUAUUUGGUCCCAGAAGGACCUUCCCCAGACUCAGCAUAUUUGGCUCCGUCGAACAGCUUUCCCAAUUAUCGACCUUCCUGAGCAAGAUCACGUCCUUCAUUACGAGCUUUUACACAUGCUUCUAGAGCUACUUGAUUUGCUACGGCACCUGGCGCAUUACCCCAAGGAUGUCCUAAAGUUCCUCCACCGAACUGUAGUA
rnacentral:lncRNA from 1 species